GUUUCCGUAGUGUAGUGGUCAUCACGUAUGCCUAACAUGCAAUAGGUCCCCAGUUCAAACCUGGGCGGAAACA
rnacentral:tRNA from 1 species